GCUCUACUAUACCUUUGUGGGGUGCAACCUGCUCAGUGAUUGGGAAUAAAAAAUUAUAACAACAAUUAAAUAGCCGCGGUAACUCUGACCGUGAUAAAGUAGCAUAAUCAUUUGUCAUUUAAUUGGUGACUGGAAUGAAUGGUUAAACGAAUCUCUAGCUGUCUCAACAAGAAAUAAAACAAAAUUAAAAUUACAGUGAAGAUGCUGUGAAUAAACUGCAAGACGAAAAGACCCUAUUGAGCUUUACUGAAUAUUUGUAAAAUCUUUCCACCAUAAUGAUAUGAAUAAUUUAUAAAGCAAAUAAGACAGUUUGGUUGGGGCGACCUCCUCUAAAACAGUAACAGAGGUGAUCUAAAGGUUUAACUUAUGUAUACAAGCCUUACUGACUAACAAUAAUUUAAUCAGUUACUAUUACGUAGGACAUAGUGACCCGUUAUUUUUAAUGUAAAAAAUAACGAUUACAAAAUAAGUUACCGUAGGGAUAACAGGGUAAUAGUUUUCAAGAGUUCAUAUCGACAAAACUGUUUGCCACCUCGAUGUUGAAUUGUGAUAACCUAAAGGUGCAGCAGCUUUUAAGGGUUG
rnacentral:rRNA from 1 species